rnacentral:rRNA from 1 species
CGGAGGAAAAGAAACCAACAGGGAUUGCCUCAGUAACGGCGAGUGAAGCGGCAACAGCUCAAAUUUGAAAUCUGGCUCCGUUAGGGGUCCGAGUUGUAAUUUGUAGAGGAUGCUUUGGGCACGGCCACGGUCUAAGUUCUCUGGAACGAGACGUCAUAGAGGGUGAGAAUCCCGUCUGGGACCGCCGGCCACGCCCGUGUAAAGCUCCUUCGACGAGUCGAGUUGUUUGGGAAUGCAGCUCAAAAUGGGUGGUAAAUUUCAUCUAAAGCUAAAUAUUGGCCAGAGACCGAUAGCGCACAAGUAGAGUGAUCGAAAGAUGAAAAGCACUUUGAAAAGAGAGUUAAACAGCAUGUGAAAUUGUUGAAAGGGAAGCGUUUGCGACCAGACUCACCCGUGGCGGCUCACCAGGCGUUCUCGCCUGGGCACUCCACCACGGUUGGGCCAGCAUCGGUUUGGGCGGUCGGUCAAAGGCCCCUGGAAUGUAUCAUCCCCCGGGAUGCCUUAUAGCCAGGGGUGCAAUGCGGCCUGCCCGGAUCGAGGAACGCGCUUCGGCACGGAUGCUGGCGUAAUGGUCGUAAACGACCCGUCUUGA